AACGAACGCUGGCGGCAUGCCUAACACAUGCAAGUCGAACGGAUCCUUCGGGAUUAGUGGCACACGGGUGCGUAACGCGUGGGAACGUACCCUUUGCUACGGAAUAACUCACGGAAACUUGAGCUAAUACCGUAUGUUCCCUACGGGGCAAAGAUUUAUCGCCAAAGGAUCGGCCCGCGUUGGAUUAGCUAGUUGGUGGGGUAAUGGCCUACCAAGGCGACGAUCCAUAGCUGGUCUGAGAGGAUGAUCAGCCACACUGGGACUGAGACACGGCCCAGACUCCUACGGGAGGCAGCAGUGGGGAAUAUUGGACAAUGGGCGCAAGCCUGAUCCAGCAAUGCCGCGUGAGUGAUGAAGGUCUUAGGAGUGUAAAGCUCUUUAACCGGUGAAGAUAAUGACGGUAGCCGGAGAAGAAGCCCCGGCUAACUUCGUG
rnacentral:rRNA from 1 species